GACGAACGCUGGCGGCGUGCCUAACACAUGCAAGUCGAGCGGAGAAACAAAAGAGCAGCUUGCUGCGAUUUGUUUCUUAGCGGCGGACGGGUGAGUAACGCGUGGGUAAUCUGCCUCAAACAGGGGGAUAACACAGGGAAACUUGUGCUAAUACCGCAUAAGACCCCACCAUGGCAUCAUGGAGAGGUCAAAGGAAGAAAUUCCGGUUUGAGAUGAGCCCGCGUCUGAUUAGCUAGUUGGUGAGGUAACGGCUCACCAAGGCGACGAUCAGUAGCCGAACUGAGAGGUUGAUCGGCCACAUUGGGACUGAGACACGGCCCAGACUCCUACGGGAGGCAGCAGUGGGGAAUAUUGCACAAUGGGGGAAACCCUGAUGCAGCGACGCCGCGUGAAGGAAGAAGGCCCUCGGGUUGUAAACUUCUUUGACCAGGGACGAAGAAAGUGACGGUACCUGGAGAACAAGCCACGGCUAACUACGUGCCAGCAGCCGCGGUAAAGAGUAGUA
rnacentral:rRNA from 1 species